rnacentral:rRNA from 1 species
CCUACGGGAGGCAGCAGUGGGGAAUAUUGCACAAUGGGGGAAACCCUGAUGCAGCGACGCCGCGUGAGUGAAGAAGUAUUUCGGUAUGUAAAGCUCUAUCAGCAGGGAAGAAAAUGACGGUACCUGAUUAAGAAGCCCCGGCUAACUACGUGCCAGCAGCCGCGGUAAGACGUAGGGGGCAAGCGUUAUCCGGAUUGUCUGGGUGUAAAGGGAGCGUAGACGGCAGCACAAGUCUGGAGUGAAAUGCCGGGGCUUAACCCCGGAACUGCUUUGGAAACUGUGCAGCUAGAGUGCAGGAGAGGUAAGUGGAAUUCCUAGUGUAGCGGUGAAGUGCAUAGAUAUUAGGAGGAACACCAGUGGCGAAGGCGGCUUACUGGACUGUAACUGACGUUGAGGCUCGACAGCGUGGGGAGCAAACAGGAUUAGAUACCCUAGUAGUC